rnacentral:rRNA from 1 species
UACGGUGGGGGCGAGCGUUAAUCGGAAUCACUGGGCGUAAAGCGCACGUAGGCGGCCUAUCAAGUCGGAUGUGAAAGCCCUCGGCUCAACCGGGGAACUGCAUUCGAAACUGACAGGCUGGAGUCUCGGAGAGGGUGGCGGAAUUCCCGGUGUAGGAGUGAAAUCCGUAGAUAUCGGGAGGAACACCAGUGGCGAAGGCGGCCACCUGGACGAUGACUGACGCUGAGGUGCGAAAGCGUGGGGAGCGAACAGG